UACGUAGGGGGGCAAGCGUUUGUCCGGAUUUAUUGGGCGUAAAGAGCGUGUAGGCGGUUAGGUAGGUGGGUUGUGAAAACUGGAGGCUCAACCUUCAGACGUCGACCCAAACCCCCUGGCUAGAGUUCGGUAGGGGAGACUGGAAUUCCUGGUGUAGCGGUGAAAUGCGCAGGUAUCAGGAGGAACACCGGUGGCGAAGGCGGGUCUCUGGGCCGAAACUGACGCUGAGGAGCGAAAGCGUGGGGGAGCAAACAGG
rnacentral:rRNA from 1 species